rnacentral:tRNA from 1 species
GCGGGUGUAGCUCAAUGGUAGAGUUCUGGCCUUCCAAGCCAGCUGUGAGGGUUCGAUCCCCUUCACCCGCC